rnacentral:rRNA from 1 species
ACGAACGCUGGCGGCGUGCUUAACACAUGCAGGUCGAGCGGAAAGGCCCUGCUUUUGUGGGGUGCUCGAGUGGCGAACGGGUGAGUAACACGUGAGUAACCUGCCCUUGACUUUGGGAUAACUUCAGGAAACUGGGGCUAAUACCGGAUAGGAGCUCCUGCUGCAUGGUGGGGGUUGGAAAGUUUCGGCGGUUGGGGAUGGACUCGCGGCUUAUCAGCUUGUUGGUGGGGUAGUGGCUUACCAAGGCUUUGACGGGUAGCCGGCCUGAGAGGGUGACCGGCCACAUUGGGACUGAGAUACGGCCCAGACUCCUACGGGAGGCAGCAGUGGGGAAUAUUGCACAAUGGGCGGAAGCCUGAUGCAGCAACGCCGCGUGCGGGAUGACGGCCUUCGGGUUGUAAACCGCUUUCGCCUGUGACGAAGCGUGAGUGACGGUAAUGGGUAAAGAAGCACCGGCUAACUACGUG